rnacentral:rRNA from 1 species
UACGUAGGUGGCUAGCGAUGUCCGGAUUUACUGGGCGUAAAGAGCGCGCAGGCGGUCGUUCAAGUCGAGUGUGAAAGCCCCCGGCUCAACUGGGGAGGGUCACUCGAUACUGAUCGACUCGAAGGCAGGAGAGGGAAGCGGAAUUCCCGGUGUAGUGGUGAAAUGCGUAGAUAUCGGGAGGAACACCAGUGGCGAAGGCGGCUUUCUGGCCUGCUCUUGACGCUGAGGCGCGAAAGCUAGGGCAGCAAACGGG